UUCGUUUAGGGUUCUUCGCCUUGUUUUAAUGGCGCUCGUGAAAUUCGCUAUCGCGUCGGUGUUCAUGUGGACGGCGCCGCUGCUCAUUCUCCAGGCUUACAAGCGCGAUCUCCUCCCAGGAUUUUCCAGUCUUUCACCGGAAGUGCAAACCAUCGUUUGUGGAUUACUGGCGGUUGUCUCCGUCAAUGUCGUGAUUGCCUUCUACAUUCUAUCGGCCAUGCGAGAGCCUCCGACGAGCACGGAGCCAAAGCCCGAUCCAGAGUUUGUUUCUCGAGCUAGAGCCAGCGUCGAGGCUCUCCAAUCAAGCCCAGAGAUCAAGAAGAACGAGUAACAAAAAAUUGGUAUCGAUUGAUUCGCCCUCUUUCCUUUCUCUUUCUUUUUUUCUUUUCUUUCAUUUGGUCAGCUGGACGACAAUAACAUAGAAUUCUCCAUCUGGGACGACUACAAUCUCGUGAACCUUGUAAAUCGGAGCUAGAAAAUCUGCGAACCUUGGAUUCGAUGUCGUGGAUCAAAUCUUUGGCUUUGGUCGCGAGUGGAACCAUGUACGAGGAAUACUGGUAACAAAAGUUUUACAUGAUUGGAGGGAUCAAAGG